GACGAACGCUGGCGGCGUGCCUAACACAUGCAAGUCGAACGGAAAGGCCCUGCUCUUGUGGGGUGCUCGAGUGGCGAACGGGUGAGUAACACGCGAGUAACCUGUCCCUGUCUUUGGGAUAACUCCAGGAAACUGGGGCUCUUACCGGAUAGGAGAUCCUGCUGCACGGUGGGGGUUGGUAAGAUUCGGCGGUUGGGGAUGGAAUCGAGGCUUAUCAGCUUGUUGGUGGGGUAGUGGCUUACCAAGGCUUUGACGGGUAGCCCGCCUGGGAGGGUGGCCGGCCACAUUGGGACUGAGAUACGGACCAGACGCCAACGGGAGGCAGCAGUGGGGAGUAUUGCGGAAUGGGCGGAAGCCUGAUGCAGCGACGCCGCGUGCGUGAUGACGGCCUUCGGGUUAUAAACCGCUUUCGCCUGUGACGAGGCGGGAGUGACGGUAAUGGGUAAAGAAGCACCGGCUAACUACGUG
rnacentral:rRNA from 1 species